GAGGUACUCCCUCCAUUCGGAAUUACUUGUCGCAGAAAUGGAUGUAUCUAGAUGUAUUUUAGUUCUAGAUACAUCCAUUUCCGAGACAAGUAAUUCCGAACAGAGGGAGUACAUA
rnacentral:pre_miRNA from 1 species